rnacentral:rRNA from 1 species
CCUACGGGGCGCAGCAGUGAGGAAUAUUGGUCAAUGGCCGGAAGGCUGAACCAGCCAUGCCGCGUGAAGGUCAGUGCCCUAUGGGCGUUAAACUUCUUUUGUGCGGGAGCAAUAAUGGUCACGUGUGGCCAGACGAGAGUACCGUACGAAUAAGCAUCGGCUAACUCCGUGACAGCAGCCGCGGUAAUACGGGGGAUGCAAGCGGUAUCCGGAUUUAUUGGGUUUAAAGGGUGCGUAGGCUGGGAGGUAAGUCAGCGGUGAAAUUCCCCCGCUCAACGGGGUGAAUUGCCAUUGAUACUGGCUUGCUGGAAUGCGGAUGAGGUAGGAGGAAUGUGUGGUGUAGCGGUGAAAUGCAUAGAUAUCACACAGAACACCGAUUGCGAAGGCAUCUCACGGAUCCGCGAUUGACGCUGAUGCACGAAAGCGUGGGUAUCAAACAGGAUUAGAUACCCGGGUAGUC